CUGACUUUGAUGGUCUGGCGGCGUUCAAGCUGGGUCGAUCCGCGCCUUUCGUGGAGCCCAGACGACUAUGGGGGUCUAAGGCGAGUUGAAGUCUAUCCGGUAAAGGGCGGA
rnacentral:SRP_RNA from 14 species